rnacentral:rRNA from 1 species
UGAGGAAUAUUGCACAAUGGGGGCAACCCUGAUGCAGCGACGCCGCGUGAGUGACGAAGGCCUUCGGGUCGUAAAGCUCUUUUCUGCGUGACGAGCAAGGACGGUAGCGCAGGAAUAAGUCUCGGCUAACUACGUGCCAGCAGCCGCGGUAAAACGUAGGAGACAAACGUUAUCCGGAGUUACUGGGCGUAAAGGGCGUGCAGGCGGUUGAUUAAGUCUGGCGUGAAAGCUCUCGGCUAAACCGAGAGAGGUCGUUGGAUACUGGUCAACUAGAGGACGGUAGAGGCGAGUGGAAUUCCGGGUGUAGUGGUGAAAUGCGUAGAGAUCCGGAGGAACACCAGUGGCGAAGGCGACUCGCUGGGCCGUACCUGACGCUAAGACGCGACAGCAUGGGGAGCGAACGGG